CCUUUGAGGAUUCUUUCUAACCCAAACUAUUCUAUGAUUUUAUAAAAAAAAGGAUCAGGAAGCAGUGGCAGUCCAAGCUGCUGACAGUGUAGACUCCAUGUGUCAAGGCUGGGCGAGUAGACCUCAGGCUAUGGGCAGCUUGCCUGUUGUGCUCUGUGCACGUCAGGCUGAAGUAAAGCUACUCGUGUGAUACCUGUGAAGUAUGUAGAGAACCUUGGAGCACCACAGAGAAACCCGAAUUCUGUUCCUCCCCUCUGUUAUUAUCCAUAAGGAAGGUUUAAUGCUGUAAAGAAGCAUGGAGACAUUCAACUUACCCCCCCCUCAACCCCCUGCUUUGUUCUUAGUGUUGCUGUAGCUCUUCUUGCAGAACUUGAGACCAUUGAGGUUUCUGGUUAAACCACUUAAAUUAUUCAAGAAUGGCUGAAGGAAGCCUUGUGAUUUCUUAGGAGGGGUUUGAGUACUUGCUUUUACAUGAUCAUUGCGUAGUCCUAUUUGCUUGGUUGUUUUCUUUGUAUUUUCUACUUGCACUUCGUUGUGUCCUCUUCAGGACUAAGCACCACAGAGACCAUUGAGUACUAUUUGUUAGAGUGGUACCAAAAUGUAUACUUGGUUCAACAUUUAAUACUUUUAUGGCAAUUUGGGUCUGUUAAUAUUACUUCUGCUAGACUGGUAAUGGCAAAACUGUCUCUGCAGUUCCCUGCUGGAGUUACUAAAUGAAGAGUUAGUAUAUAACCAAACUCCACAUUUAAACCUUUCCCCUCGCUAGCCAGGAGGAGAUACACCUUGUCAGGAAAUUAUUUUAUUUGUGCAGCAAGUAUAACCCAAAUUGAAUAGUCCCCAAAUCUUUGGUUUGGUAUCUGAUUUGCAUAUAGAUAACUGUAGUACCCAUAAGGAAUUUCAUAAAGACACACAUCACUCAGUACCUGUGUAAAUUGUAGAGUAUGGCAAUUAGUUUCUGUAUAUCAGUUAAAUAUAUUGAUAUUGAUUUUUAAAUAAAUAAUAAAUAAAUGUGCACUCCACGAAAGUUACUUUGGAAACACUCCCAGGAUGUAGAUACACAUGCAGUCCUUCAGCUGGCUAUGCCAGUUCCUAUCCACAAACUUGCUUAUGCUCUGGUACCCUCUAAUUUAUCCCAACAAACUAGUUUGUGGGGCUGCAUGUGAACUGGGUCAUGUAAUUGGGUUAAUAAUGAUGGGCGGGGGACACUGGUUGGUUUUGGUGUCUUGAAUCUGUUUGUUUCCCAGUUCAUCACACAGGCAGGGCAGGCUGAAGCAACUCCUCUGUGAAACUUUAUUCUACAGAAAUGCACGGGUAACAGUCGUCUGAGAUGAUUUUUGAUAGAAACAGGUUUUACUCUCACCUAUGAUAUGUGCUGAAAACCUUAAUUAAAGACUGAGUGUUCCCUCCAAUUAACAGUUAUCUAACUGGUCAUGGAGACUUCUCAUGAAGGUAGAUCUUGCUAGGGCUUACUGGGCUGGCUGCGUCUCUCUGGCUGGAUACUUUUUAUUUUGGUGAUUAGUCAGAUGACACUUGAACUUGAUUGAAUAAUUUUUUUUGCACUGAGCUUUGUUUCAUUCAUUUACAUAAUAAAGCAUUGAAAACAAAUGUUAAUGGCAGCGUACGCUUGUCCUGCUGUUACCUAUCUGAUACAUUAUAGGCCACAUGAUCAAGGGGCUGAAGGUUUGUGAAGCUAUGGAGCUGAGAAGGACUAUUAGCUGUUGUUAGAAGGGCUGAGUGCUAGUAGUGGUAAUGCCUGCGCUACGGAAGGGUUUCACGAGGAAAACUCAAAUGUGGGUGAUGGAGGAGAAUCUUAUUUUGGGAGAUUUCUGGGCCAAAUGCCUUCUAGCUGUGUCUGGUUUCUUGCUGGUGA